rnacentral:rRNA from 1 species
UACGUAGGGUGCGAGCGUUAAUCGGAAUUACUGGGCGUAAAGCGUGCGCAGGCGGUUUUGUAAGCCAGAUGUGAAAUCCCCGGGCUUAACCUGGGAAUGGCAUUUGGGACUGCAAGGCUCGAGUGCGGCAGAGGAGACGUGGAAUUCCUGGUGUAGCAGUGAAAUGCGUAGAUAUCAGGAGGAACACCGAUGGCGAAGGCAGGUCUCUGGGCUGACACUGACGCUCAUGCAC